GUGGGAAGAAGGAGGAUGUGAAGAGCAGUGGUGGGGGUAGCCGAACGGAGAUCUUGGAGAGCUUUGAUUCGCCCAGUCCGCCAGUGCCAACUUUCGACUACAAGUAGAAUAAAGCAGGAUUUCAUGGAAGGUACUGAAGUUAUUAUUUGUUUGUCGACUCUGCUUCAUUGUUGGUCAAGAUCAAUAUUUGCCAUGUUUGGGUUCAAGAUGGUUUUUAGCUAUGUAAUAUGUUAAUUUGUCACAGUAUUUAUAGGUUUUUAGUGUGAUAAGCUUGUUUUGUUACUGGUAAUAAAGUAACAAC
rnacentral:misc_RNA from 1 species